GGGUGCAUGGUCUAGUGGUAUGAUUUUCGCUUCGCAUUCUCCGACUGCGCCUUGUGAAAGGUCCCCGGUUCGAUCCCGGGUGCAUCCA